UGGGGAAUUUUGCACAAUGGGGGAAACCCUGAUGCAGCGACGCCGCGUGAUUUAGAAGGCCUUCGGGUUGUAAAAAUCUUUUUUACGGGAUGAAAAUGACAGUACCGUAAGAAUAAGGUCCGGCUAAGUACGUGCCAGCAGCCGCGGUAAUACGUAUGGACCGAGCGUUGUCCGGAAUCAUUGGGCGUAAAGGGUACGUAGGCGGCCUAGUAAGUUAGAAGUGAAAUAAUAUAGCUCAACUAUAUAAAGCUUUUAAAACUGCUAGGCUUGAGAGAUGGAAGGGAAAGUGGAAUUCCUAGUGUAGCGGUGAAAUGCGCAGAUAUUAGGAAGAAUACCGGUGGCGAAGGCGACUUUCUGGUCAUCAUCUGACGCUGAGGUACGAAAGCGUGGGUAGCAAACAGG
rnacentral:rRNA from 1 species